GAUGAACGCUGGCGGCGUGCCUAAUACAUGCAAGUCGAGCGAACGGACGAGAAGCUUGCUUCUCUGAUGUUAGCGGCGGACGGGUGAGUAAAACGUGGAUAACCUACCUAUAAGACUGGGAUAACUUCGGGAAACCGGAGCUAAUACCGGAUAAUCUUUUGAACCGCAUGGUUCAAAAGUGAAAGACGGUCUUGCUGUCACUUAUAGAUGGAUCCGCGCUGCAUUAGCUAGUUGGUAAGGUAACGGCUUACCAAGGCAACGAUGCAUAGCCGACCUGAGAGGGUGAUCGGCCACACUGGAACUGAGACACGGUCCAGACUCCUACGGGAGGCAGCAGUAGGGAAUCUUCCGCAAUGGGCGAAAGCCUGACGGAGCAACGCCGCGUGAGUGAUGAAGGUCUUCGGAUCGUAAAACUCUGUUAUUAGGGAAGAACAGAUGUGUAAGUAACUGUGCACAUCUUGACGGUACCUAAUCAGAAAGCCACGGCUAACUACGUG
rnacentral:rRNA from 1 species